ensembl:lncRNA
CUCACACGACUCGUUUGGGUCACAUAUGGUUGAGGACACUCUCACACGUGGUUCAGGGAUAGCUCAGCCAUGGCUCACACGUGACACAGGAGUGCCACAGAACUGGCUCCCAUGUGGCUGACACAUGAUACAGGCUUUGGUCACGCAUGGCUCACACAUGGUUCAGGUGUGGCUCAUGAAUCUCUGUGGUUUUAGUCAGGCGUGGCUCACAUGUGUUUGUGACAUGGGUGGCACGUGGUUCAGGCAUGGCAGGCAAGUUGUGCCUGUGUGGCUGACACGUGCUUCAAGUGAGGCUGACCUGUGGUUCAAGUGUUACUGGCACUUGAUUCAGGACUGACUGGCACGUGACAUUGGCAUGGCUCAGACGUGACUCAGACGUAGCUCACACGUUAUGCAGGCAUGACUGACAAAUGACUCAUGUGAGGCAGCCACGUGACACAGGCAUGUGUGACACGUCACUCUGGUGUGGUUCACACAUGCUUCAUGCAUGGCCUUCGUGUAUUUCAUGGGUGGCUGGUGGAGGGUUCAUGCAUGAGUGACAGGUGGUCCAGGCGUGGCUGACAUGUGACUCAGGCAUGUGUGAAACAUGACUCCGGUGUGGUUAGCACAUGUCUCAGGCUUGGCUGACACUUGAGUCUUGCAUGCAUCCCCCAGGAUCCAUGUGUGGCAAACAUGGGGUCACACGUGUGUGGCAUGCCAUACCGGUGUGGCGCCCAUGUGACUCCCAAGUUGCUGAAACGUGGCUCCCGCAUACUCAGUCAUGGCUGGCAUGUGGCUUACGAAUGGCUCAGCUGUGUUUCAUGUGUGGCUCCCCUGCGGUUCAUGUGUGGUUCAAGCAUCAAUCAUGUGUGUUUCACAGGUGGUUCAGAUGUGCUUCAAGGGCGUCUCACAUGUGGUUCAUGCAUGGUUCACACAUGUUUUGGAUGUAAUUCAGGCGUGGCUCACACUCGACUUGUCUGGGUCCCAAAAGGUAGAGGACACAUUCACACGUGGUUCAGGGAUAGCUCAGCUGUGGCUCACACAUGAUGCAAGCGUGCCACAGCACUGGCUCCUAAAUAUCUGACACAUGAUUCUGGCUUUUGCGAUGCAUGGCUCACACAUGGCUCACGUGUGGCACAUGCACAGCUGUGGUACUGCUCAAGCGUGACUCACCUGUGUUUGUGGCAUGGUUGUCACGUGGUUCAGGCAUGGCAGGCAAAUUGUGCCAGUGUGGAUGACACGUGCUUCAAGUGAGGCCGACCUGUGGUUCAAGUGUGACUGGCAGUUGCUUCAGGCCGGGCUGGCACGUGAUGUCAACACGGCUGAGGCCUGACUCAGGUUACUGGAGACGUUCACACAUGAUUUAGGCGUGGCUCACACACGGUUCAGGUGCAGCUCAGCCAAGGGUCACACAUGAUGCAGGCACGCCACAGAACUGGGUCACAUGUGGCUGAUGCAUGAUUCCAGCGCUUGUCAAGCAUGGUUCACACCCGGCUGAGGAGUGGCUCAUGCAUGGCUGUGGUGCUGCUCAGGGGUGGCUCACACUUGUUUGUGGCAUGGUUGGCACGUGGUUCAGGCGUGGCAGGCAGGUGUGUCGGACAUGGCUUCCAGUGGUAUGUGAUGCUUCGUUCAGGCCGCAGUGACACGUGCUUGUUGUGUGGCUGACACUUGGUGUGUCGCAGUUGACACAGGGCUCAGGCGUGCCUGACAUGUGGUUCGGAUGUGGGUGACAGGUGAUUCAGGUGUGGCUGGCACUUUUCUGAUGCAGGGCUGACACAUGACGCAGGCAUGGCCCACACGUGACUCAGGCAUUCAUCGCACAUUAUCCAUGCGUGGCAGGCAUGUGGUCACAUGUGGCACAUUUUGUACAGGUGUGGCUCCCACAUUGCUUACACGUGGGCCCCAGAUUCUCAGUCACGGCUGGCACAUAGCUCAUGCAUGGCUCAUCUGUGUUUCAUGCGUGGCUCACCUGAGCUUCAUGUGUGGUUCAAGCAUUGAACAUGGGUGCUUCCCAUGUGGUCCAGAUGUGGUUGAAGGGUGCCUCCCAUGUGCUUCAGGCACGGUUCAGUUGUGGCUCACAUGUGGUUCCGAUGUAAUUCAGGCAUGGCUCACACAUGACUUGUCGGGGUCACAAAUGCUACAGGAGACUUUCACAGAUGAUUUAGGCAUGGCUCACACAUGGUUCAGGUGCAGCUCAGCCAGGGCUCACAGGUUAUGCAGGCACACCACAGAACUGGGUCACAUAUGGCUGAUGCAUGAUUCUGUCGUUUAUCAUGCAUGGCUCACACCUGGCUGAGGUGUAGCUCAUGAAUGGCUGUGGUGCUGUUCAUGCGUGCUCACACUUGUUUGUGGCAUGGUUGGCACGUGGUUCAGUCAUGGCUGGCAGGUGUCUCCAGUGUGGCUGACAUGUGCUUCAAGUGAGGAUGGUGUGUGGUGAAAUUGAGACUGGCACAUGGUUCAAUCAUGGCUGGCAUGUGACUUCGGCAUGGUUGAGAUGAGACUCAGGCGUGGCCCACACGUUUUUCAGGCAUGGCUGACACGUGACUCAGGUGAGGCAGCCACAUGACACAGGCGUGCCUGUCACAUCACGCAGCUGUGUCUCGCACCUGCUUCAUGCACGGCCUUCACGUGGCACAGGCGUGGCUGGUGGGUGGUUCACGCAUGGGUGCCAGGUGUUUCAGGUGUGGCUAACACAUGACUCAGGCAUCCAUUGCACAUUAUCCGUGACUGGCAGACAUGUGUUUCAUGCAUGGGUUACAUGUCGUUCCUGUGUGGCAAACACGCGACUCACUCAUUGCAGACAAAUGGCUUCCACCUACCCAGACAUGGCUGCCUAGUGGCUUACACAUGGCCCAGUCAUGUUCCACGAGUGGCUCCCUUGAGAUUCACGUGUGGUUCAAACCUUGAACAUGUGUGCUUCACACGUGUUUCACAUGUGGUUCAAGUGUGUCUCAUGUGGUUCAGUCUUGGUUCAGGUGUGGCUCCCAAAUGGCCCAGGUGUAAAUCAGGUGUGACUCACACAUUGCUCAUGUGUGUGUCACAUAUGGUUUAGGACUGUUUUAGCCGUGAUUCACGCGUGGCUCCCACGUGGUGCAGGCAUGUCUCAGCCAUGUCUCACAUGGAGUUCAGGCGAACCUCAGACUGGGGCCAGGUGUGGCUGUCACAUGAUUCAGGAGUUUGUCACACAUGGCUGACACAUGUCUCAGGUGAGGCUCACUCAUGGCUGGGGUGUGGCUCUGCAAUUGUUGGCAUGUGGCUCUUGCCUGUCUGCCACGACACUCACGAGUUGUUGAUAUGUGUUUCAGGCAUGGGAUUCAUGUGUGUCAGACUCGGGUUAGAGUGGUAUGUGAUGCUUCGUUCAGGCCAGAGUGACACGUACUUGUUGUGUGGCUGACACUUGGUGUGUCGCAGUUGACACAGGGCUCAGGCAUGCCAGACAUGUGGUUCGGAUGUGGGUGACAGGUGAUUCAGGUGUGGCUGGCACUUUUCUGAUGUGGGGCUGACACAUGACGCAGGCAUGGCCCACACGUGACUCAGGCAUUCAUCGCACAUUAUCCAAGCAUGGCAGGCAUGUGGUCACACGUGGCACACUUUGUACAGGUGUGGCUCCCACGUUGCUGACAUGUGGCCCCCACAUACUCAGUCACAGCUGACACGUGGCUCAUGCAUGGCUCAGCUGUGUUUCAUGUGUGGCUCACCUGAGCUUCAUGUGUGGUUCAAGCAUUAAACAUUGGUGCUUCCCAUGUGGUCCAGAUGUGGUUGAAGGGUGCCUCCCAUGUGCUUCAUGCACGGUUCAGUUGUGACCCACACUUAGUUCCGAUGUAAUUCAGGCAUGGCUCACACAUGACUUGUGAGGGUCACAAAUGCUACAGGAGCCUUUCACACAUGAUUUAGGCAUGGCUCACACAUGGUUCAGGUGCAGCUCAGCCAAGGCUCACACGUGAUGCAUGCAUGCCACAGAACUGGGUCACAUGUGGCUGAUGCAUGAUUCAGGCGUUUGUCAUGCAUGGCUCUCA